rnacentral:rRNA from 1 species
GAGGAAUGUAUAGCAAUAGCUACUUGCAACAUUGUAGAUAUGAUGCAAGAUCAACGUAGUUGAAUAAAAUUCUAGGUAGAAUUUGAUGAUGACAAUAUCUGCCUAUGUGUCUUGACCAAAUUACGUGCCAGCAGUCGCGGUAAUACGUAAAAGACUAGUGUUAUUCAUGUUUAAUCGGUUUAAAGGGUACCUAGACGGUAGAUCAAGCUUUCAAAUAAAAAAAAAAUAAAAAAAAGGACUAAUUUACUAGAGUUACUUAUGAGGGGGUAGUAAAGUACUGGUGGUGUAGAGAUGAAAUUCUGUCAUACCUCUUUUCAAAAGAAAACAUAUGGCACAGGUAUAGGCGAAGGCAUCCCCUUAUGUGAUAACUGACGUUGAGGGACGAAGGCGACGUGGAACAAACAGGAUUAGAUACCCUAGUAGUUGUAGCAGAAAAUGAUGAAUGUCAUAGAUUAGAUGUAUAAGUUUAUUCUAUAAAUGAAAGUGUAAGCAUUCCACCUCAAGAGUAAUUUGGCAACAUUGGAACUGAAAUCAUUAGACCGUUUCUGAAACCAGUAGUGAAGUAUGUUGUUUAAUUUGAUGAUCCGCAAAAAACCUUACCACAAUUUGAAUAUAUAUAUAAUUUAUUGUUUUUUCAUAAUUUAGAAAUAAAAAGGCAAUAAAAUAUAUUUACAAGCGUUGCACGGCUGUCUUCAGUUAAUGUCGUGAGACUUUGGUUAGUUCCAUUAAAUUAACGUAAACCCUUACUUUAUUUUUAGAUAAAGUAGUUCUCCGCUAUAUUGGAUAAGAU